UAGCAUAUCAAUAAGCGGAGGAAAAGAAACCAACAGGGAUUGCCCUAGUAACGGCGAGUGAAGCGGCAACAGCUCAAAUUUGAAAUCUGGCUUUCGGGUCCGAAUUGUAAUUUGCAGAGGAUGCUUUUGGCGAGGUGCCUUCCGAGUUCCCUGGAACGGGACGCCUUAGAGGGUGAGAGCCCCGUACGGUUGGACACUAAGCCUCUGUAAAGCUCCUUCGACGAGUCGAGUAGUUUGGGAAUGCUGCUCUAAAUGGGAGGUAAAUUUCUUCUAAAGCUAAAUACCGGCCAGAGACCGAUAGCGCACAAGUAGAGUGAUCGAAAGAUGAAAAGCACUUUGAAAAGAGGGUUAAAUAGCACGUGAAAUUGUUGAAAGGGAAGCGUUUACGGCCAGACCUUUUCCUAGCGGAUCAUCUGGUGUUCUCACCGGUGCACUUCGCUAGGUUUAGGCCAGCAUCGGCUUCUGUAGAGGGAUAAAAGCAGUGGGAAAGUAGCUCUCUCGGGAGUGUUAUAGCCCUAAGCAUAAUACCUUUACGGGGGCCGAGGACCGCGCUUUUGCAAGGAUGCUGGCGUAAUGGUCGUCAACGACCCGUCUUGAAACACGGACCAAGGAGUCGAACAUUUGUGCGAGUGUUUGGGUGUUAAACCCUCACGCGUAAUGAAAGUGAACGGAGGUGAGAGCCCUUUACGGGGUGCAUCAUCGACCGAUCCUGAUGUCUUCGGAUGGAUUUGAGUAGGAGCAUUAAUGUUCGGACCCGAAAGAUGGUGAACUAUGCGUGGAUAGGGUGAAGCCAGAGGAAACUCUGGUGGAGGCUCGCAGCGGUUCUGACGUGCAAAUCGAUCGUCAAAUCUGCGCAUGGGGGCGAAAGACU
rnacentral:rRNA from 1 species